rnacentral:rRNA from 1 species
UACAGAGGUCUCAAGCGUUGUUCGGAUUCAUUGGGCGUAAAGGGUGCGUAGGCGGCGCGGUAAGUCGGGUGUGAAAUCUCGGGGCUUAACUCCGAAACUGCAUUCGAUACUGCCGUGCUUGAGGACUGGAGAGGAGACUGGAAUUUACGGUGUAGCGGUGAAAUGCGUAGAUAUCGAGAGGAACACCAGUGGCGAAGGCGAGUCUCUGGACGACUCCUGACACUGAGGCACGAAAGCUGGGGGAGCAAACAGG